AUCUUCUUCCUCGUCUCUAAACACCCAAACCCUAGAGACGCCGCCCCUGAAACCUCCAUCGUUUCCAGUGGCGGCGCAGCCUUACACCACCCCUACCCACCUGAAAAUAACAUCCCAAGACCCUAUUCGUCCCCUCUUCCCCAAUCUGUAGCUAGUUUCCCUCGAAUCACCCUAGGACUUCUCGAAUCUUCAAUCGAAGCAGUCCGGUCCCAAAAUCCCUGAACCCUAGCUUACCCAAUCGAACCCAAAUUAACAUCACAUAACCCCCAUAACUCCCUCAUACCAAAUCCAUCAUUGGUUUCCUUCGAAUCUGACCGGAACUCGUUGAAUUUUAAAUCUAAGUUCGAACCCUAAAAGUUCAAAAUCAAUUUCCGUUGAACCUGAUGACAUGCAUCGAUCCAAGCCUCUAGUUUUUCAUGGUUAGAAGGUCGAUUCACUACAAAACCGAUGUUGUUCAUUUGUUCUUGACAAAGAACAAAUGAUUAGCAACAGUUUCGGGUGAGUCAGAGUAUCAAGGGUAAUUUCAAGUUUAGCCGGUGAGUUCCUUUUAUUGUUUUCUGUUCAUUUAUAAAUUUGUUUCACCUUUUACUCUUCUUCUUUCCUUCUUGUUUUCUUUCUUCAGUAUUCUUCUAAGUAGUUCUUCCGUUCACAAGUCUGGUAGUUCCUCAUCUGCAUUAAUUCUUGUUUCAAUAGCAUUUUCUGAAUUUAUAUCCAUAUGAGAAGGGUCUAGGUUUAAUUCAAGGUUCAAUUGAAUUGGUCGAGGUUUAUUCGAGUAUGUUCUGGAAGUUAUUAGUUUUCUAGCAUUUCUGAAAGUUCCAUUUAGAGUUCUUAUAGCAGACUAAUUCUUCAUGAAUUAAUAUGAUUCACUAGUUGUUAGAUGCAUUCUUAAUUUCGAAGUUCAUUUGUUUUCAAUCUAUCUGAAGGUAUUAGCUCAUUUUUUCUGUUUGUAUGUUUGUAAGUAUUCAGAACUUUAGGGGAUAUUAAAUAACAUUGGGUUUAAGGGUAGUCUAGGAAUUGUUUAGAUUGGAGUGUUUUCCCAACUAAUUAGGAAGUUUCUAUAAUGGUAGGAUUAAGAAUGCACUACUGAAUAAAGAAAAGAACUUGAAUUGGGUAGAAUCAAAUAAAAAAUUAUUGAAGGGGCAUUUAUGAAUCAAAGAGGCAUUUUCUACUGCCUAUUUAAACUAAGAAGAAUAGAGAACAGAAAAAAACAUAUCAAGAGAAAAAGAAACAAAGAGACUCUAAGAGAUAAAAAAUCCAAAGAAAACAAAACGGCUGAAAAAUUUCAACAAUAAUCACUAUUUCAUUGAACUCUCUUCUGUGAUUUUGAAGUUUUCAAUUUCUGAAACAAAUUUCGACUCACCUGAGGCUUGAACUGGGUUGAGUUUGGUUUUCAAAGGCUUGGUUUGAAAUUUGCUGUUUGGUUUACUGUUCUAUUGGUCCUUCUGAGUCAAUUUCACUAUUUGGUUGUGUGAAUCUGGGAACUUGGUUGUUGCUGCUUGGCCGAUCCCUCACCCUUUUGUUUAUAUUUCAAUUUUCAGGUACACAUCUUAGGCCCUAUCGAUUGUGAAGUUGGAUAUGAAAUGAAAUGAAGAAUUUGAAGCAGAGAAAUUAGUUUAUUUUGUUGAAUCCAUAACGCUACUCUGAUUUGUCUUUUAAUUUAAUGUGAUUACAUUGUCUAAAUCAGCCUUAAUUAAGUAUGUUAUAGCUGUUAGUAGAUGUGAUAUGAUGUUGG
rnacentral:lncRNA from 1 species